UGCGUCCCGCUGAUGCUCCAGCGCGCGCUCCUCCCCCGGCGCUGGGGUCGGGGGCGGGUUUCGGGUUAGGGCCGGACCCACAGCUGGCGUCGGGGGCGCUUGGGGAAAACAGUCUGAUCCUCUGUUUCCCUUCCCGAGCUGGCGCGCCCUGGCAUCCCCUCGCUUAAAAGGCCGUGGGCCCGAGGUGGGUGAGGUCUCCGUCAUGCGGGAACAUGUGCGGGGCGGAGAAGGGUGGUUCACCCACGUUCCAGGACAGGAGAGAGAUCUCUAUGAAAGAGAAACUUUUUGUCCCCUAAAUCCUUGCCUCCCAGCAUCUCUGGGUACCAGGUCCCACCCUCUCAAAAUGCUCCCAGCGGGAAGUCACCGCGUCUGGGCGGGUUUCGAUGCGCCAUCUUGGUUUGUAAACCGCAGUGUGCCUCAUUUGGGAAGCCUCUGGUCCAAGGUGAAAUGAAUGUUUGGGUCUGAUGCUGAUUUUCGCUAGGAUCACCCAGAUACUUAAGAUAAAAUCCUGCUGGCGGGGAGGGAGCGGUCUCCAGUGAGGAGGAUGUGCGGCAAAUGGGGGCUCCAGAUGCCUGAGAAGAUGGAAAGAAGGAAUGAAUCAGCCAUCCCAGAAGCCUUUAUUUUCCCACACGGCUGCUUUUCCAGAGGCGCACUCUCUAAGUUCUGGAACAGGCUGGGGCCACAGCGCCCGGGGUGGGGAGCCUGUGCAGUUGCUGCCCUCCUGGCUGGGUCCGAGCUCUCUGCCCAGCCUCCCCGGCACAGACUGUGGGUGCCCCUCAGAGGGGUUGGGGAGGGUACAGGUAUGGGGAGCCCCCUCCCGGAGCUGGAAGGAGGGAGGCGCUCAAUAAGGCCCUGCGGGAACAUGAAGAAAAUGAGCCUC